GAUGAACGCUGGCGGCGUGCUUAACACAUGCAAGUCGAACGAAGCGAUCGUAAGCAAUCUUUUCGGAGUGAAGCGAGCGAUUGACUUAGUGGCGGACGGGUGAGUAACGCGUGGGUAAUCUACCUUGCACAGGGGGACAACAGUUAGAAAUGACUGCUAAUACCGCAUAAGCGCACAGUAUCGCAUGAUACGGUGUGAAAAGCCUUUACGGUGCAAGAUGGGCCCGCGUCUGAUUAGCUAGUUGGUGAGGUAAUGGCUCACCAAGGCGACGAUCAGUAGCCGAUCUGAGAGGAUGACCGGCCACAUUGGGACUGAGACACGGCCCAAACUCCUACGGGAGGCAGCAGUGGGGAAUAUUGCACAAUGGGCGCAAGCCUGAUGCAGCGACGCCGCGUGAGUGAUGAAGUAUUUCGGUAUGUAAAGCUCUAUCAGCAGGGAAGAAAAUGACGGUACCUGACUAAGAAGCACCGGCUAAAUACGUGCCAGCAGCCGCGGUAAUACGUAUGGUGCAAGCGUUAUCCGGAUUUACUGGGCGUAAAGGGAGCGUAGGCGGUUUGACAAGUCUGAUGUGAAAAUCCGGGGCUCAACCUCGGACCUGCAUUGGAAACUUUCGAACUAGAAUAUCGGAGGGGCAAGUGGAAUUCCUGGUGUAGCGGUGAAAUGCGUAGAUAUCAGGAGGAACACCGGUGGCGAAGGCGACUUGCUGGACGAUAAUUGACGCUGAGGCUCGAAAGCGUGG
rnacentral:rRNA from 1 species